UAUAUAUUAAAAGUGCCUAUCUAACGGCAUUUCUUGGUUUAACAGAAUAUACUUUACAAAUAAAAGAAUAUUCUGUUAAAUUUAACCCCAAAAGCUUUUAACGCCGUUAACUUUAACUUUAACGCCAUUCCGUUAACCAUUCUUCUCUUUCACACUAUUUUCAAUUGGUCCCAAUUAGAAUUUUACUCUCAAUUCCAAUCGAGUUAAACUCAGAAUCUGGCGAUCGAUUAAACUCAGAAUUUUACCUUUUUUUUCUAUUUUUAUGCAUCUUUUUCUCACUACUGGCACUAUCAACCCACUAUUUUAUCGUCCUCCUCCAUAGGCGGCAACUUUAUUGAUUUCGGCACCAAUAACUUUCUUGGAAGGGUUUCGCGAGUCGAUCACCUUGCCUAUGGCUGAGAUUUCGACAACCGGUCAACCGGCGCCCACCGACCGGUUGUUAAAUGGAAGAAUCCCGGUUGAUUAUUUUGAAGGAUGGUUCUCUGAAGCUUCUAUAAACAGGUAGGAUAAUAUAUAUCAUAUAUAAUUGUAUAUGAAGAAUUUAGAUAAAUGGGUUUAUUUAAAAUUCCAUUAGGUAGAUAGUGAGGUUUUGAGAGCUUCCAUCUUGGGCAAUGGCACCUUUAGAUUUCACUCAUAAUGCGAUUCUUAACUAUCUUAAGCACAUAAGAAGAAACUGGCUUGAAGAACAUUCUGCCUCUGCCACCCAGUAACUAUCUUUCUCUACACAUUAUGCAUUUUAAAUUAACAUGUUUUGACAUAAUUUUAGAGUUUAUAAUUUAGAAAACAAUGAAUCUUGGCAUCCAUACAAUAUAUGUGUGUUUGUUUGUAUUUAUGUCAUGCAACAACUCUAUCGUUUCACUGUUUGCUUACCCUUUUUAUCUGGUAAGUGAUCUCAGUUCUAGCUUUUCCUCUCUCAUUCCAUUUGUUUGUUACUUUACUAGCUUCUUAUCUUGUGGCUUUGGUAUCAUUUAUAGUGGAGUCAAAGUCCUAGAAAGAGUGUUCUUAUUUUGAUUCAAACAGU